UACGAAGGGUGCAAGCGUUAAUCGGAAUUACUGGGCGUAAAGCGUGCGUAGGCGGUUGGCUAAGUCAGAUGUGAAAGCCCUGGGCUCAACCUGGGAAUGGCAUUUGAAACUGGCCGGCUAGAGUGUGAUAGAGGAUGGCGGAAUUCCCGGUGUAGCGGUGAAAUGCGUAGAGAUCGGGAGGAACAUCCGUGGCGAAGGCGGCCAUCUGGAUCAACACUGACGCUGAGGCACGAAAGCGUGGGGAGCGAACGGG
rnacentral:rRNA from 1 species